AUGGUGGUGAGGUCAGUAUGGUGCAAACACACCAGCGGGAGCACUAGAUUGGCUCUGCUGGUGCAUUUGCACUGCACUGACCUUGCCAUUGU